rnacentral:snRNA from 1 species
AUCGCUUCUCGGCCUUUUGGCUAAUACAAGUGUAGUAUCUGUUUUAUCAGUUUAAUAUCUGAUACGUCCCUAUCUGGGACCAAUAUAUUAAAUGGAUUUUGGAAACAGGGAGAUGGAAGAGAGCUUGCUCUGUCCACUCCACGCAUCGACCUGGUAUUGCAGUACCUCCAGGACCGGUGCACCUCUC